ensembl:misc_RNA 7SK 7SK RNA
UGUGACGGUGAUUUACAUGUGGCUUUUCUCCAUGUUGGCUGAGAUCGAUGCAGCCCAUCCAGCUGGCUAGGCAGGCAACUCCUUCCUUUUUCACCUGAAGCUUUGUGCCUGGUCAAAGAGGUCAGUGUCUCCUUCUCAGAUAGACAAGGACCAUCCUUCUGAUUUGGGUAUGUAGGAAAUUGUGCUCCUCUACUUAUCCUUCCAAAUGAUCCCUCAAGGUCCAAGAAGAAACCUAAGGUGUUUGUGAAGGGUAGAUGACAUCACAGAUACAAAACACUUUGUAAACCCUAAGGGUUUCUUCCAUUUGGUU